rnacentral:rRNA from 1 species
AACGAACGCUGGCGGCAUGCCUAACACAUGCAAGUCGAACGAGACCUUCGGGUCUAGUGGCGCACGGGUGCGUAACGCGUGGGAACCUGCCCUUAGGUUCGGAAUAACUCCCCGAAAGGGGUGCUAAUACCGGAUAAUGUCUUCGGACCAAAGAUUUAUUGCCUUUGGAUGGGCCCGCGUUGGAUUAGCUAGUUGGUAGGGUAAAAGCCUACCAAGGGGACGAUUCAUAGCUGGUUUGAGAGGAUGAUCAGCCACACUGGGACUGAGACACGGCCCAGACUCCUACGGAAGGCAGCAGUGGGGAAUAUUGGACAAUGGGGGAAAGGAUGAUCCAGCAAUGACGCGUGAGUGAUGAAGGCAUUAGGGUUGUAAAGCUCUUUUACCCGGGAUGAUAAUGACAGUACCGGGAGAAUAAGCUCCGGCUAACUCCGUG